rfam:Clostridium sp. CAG:221 genomic scaffold, scf104
UUAACAACAUCUGGGCUUAUAUAAUGCACAUGAGUAUCUAUACCACCUGCAGUUAUUAUCCUGCCUUCUCCAGCCAAUGCUUCUGUACUUGGUGAUACUAUAAAAUCCACAUCAUCCAUAGUAUAAGGAUUACCACCUUUACCGAUAGCUAAAAUCUUUCCAUCACGAAUACCAAUAUCAGCUUUAUAUAUUCCUGUAUAAUCUACAACAGUGGCUCCUGUAAUAAUAAGAUCUGCAACCAUAGGAUUUUCUCUGCUUUCAAUUGCAUUUUGCCCCAUUCCAUCUCUUAA